ACGGGAGGCAGCAGUGGGGGAUAUUGCGCAAUGGGGGCAACCCUGACGCAGCAACGCCGCGUGAAGGAUGAAGGUUUUCGGAUUGUAAACUUCUUUUAUUAAGGACGAAAAUUGACGGUACUUAAUGAAUAAGCUCCGGCUAACUACGUGCCAGCAGCCGCGGUAAUACGUAGGGAGCAAGCGUUGUCCGGAUUUACUGGGUGUAAAGGGUGCGUAGGCGGCUUUGCAAGUCAGAUGUGAAAUCUAUGGGCUCAACCCAUAAACUGCAUUUGAAACUGUAGAGCUUGAGUGAAGUAGAGGCAGGCGGAAUUCCCCGUGUAGCGGUGAAAUGCGUAGAGAUGGGGAGGAACACCAGUGGCGAAGGCGGCCUGCUGGGCUUUAACUGACGCUGAGGCACGAAAGCGUGGGUAGCAAACAGGAUUAGAUACCCUGGUAGUCCACGCUGUAAACGAUGAUUACUAGGUGUGGGGGGUCUGACCCCUUCCGUGCC
rnacentral:rRNA from 1 species